rnacentral:rRNA from 1 species
UGGGGAAUAUUGCACAAUGGGCGCAAGCCUGAUGCAGCCAUGCCGCGUGUAUGAAGAAGGCCUUCGGGUUGUAAAGUACUUUCAGCGGGGAGGAAGGUGUUGUGGUUAAUAACCUCAGCAAUUGACGUUACCCGCAGAAGAAGCACCGGCUAACUCCGUGCCAGCAGCCGCGGUAAUACGGAGGGUGCAAGCGUUAAUCGGAAGUACUGGGCGUAAAGCGCACGCAGGCGGUCUGUCAAGUCGGAUGUGAAAUCCCCGGGCUCAACCUGGGAACUGCAUCCGAAACUGGCAGGCUUGAGUCUUGUAGAGGGGGGUAGAAUUCCAGGUGUAGCGGUGAAAUGCGUAGAGAUCUGGAGGAAUACCGGUGGCGAAGGCGGCCCCCUGGACAAAGACUGACGCUCAGGUGCGAAAGCGUGGGGAGCAAACA